GGGCAGGAUGUGUGAAGUAGGCCCACCCGCAAGCGGGUUGUCCUUCUUCACGUCCCCUUAUUCGCGCCGGGGGCGCUCAACGGGGCAUCCUGCUCUGCGAGGCU
rfam:Pseudomonas aeruginosa TCBPP-PA14, complete genome.